rnacentral:lncRNA from 1 species
UCGAACAGCGGGUAGAACUGGUUGUCGGGGUUGCGCUGCAGGUGGCGGUAGAUGGUGAUGUAGCGCCAGUAGCCAAUCUUCUCCGACAGGAAGGUGGCGUAGAUGAUGAACUUGGGCUUGAAGUAGGUGUAGGUGCGGUUCUUGGUCAGGAAGCCCAGGUCCAGGGCCAGGUUGAAGUCCGACAGGGCCUUGUUCAGGAAGCCGGCGUGGCGGGCCUCAUCGCGAGACAUGAGCAGGAACCUGUGUUGGUGCGUUGCCGGGGAGUGAGGGUUGAGGCGGUGGAGGGUGAGGCUGGGUUGGGGUGAGGUGGGCAAAGGCGCAGGGACGCCGUUGCCGACCGACCCAGAUCGCCUGCCUCAUUCGGCGCCGUCUGCGUUUCCAUGCAUCUACACAGUCCCCGGCUGCCGCCGUCCCACACCAUCCAGCCAGGCAUCCCCGCCCCGCCCCGCCAACCCGCAAAAAUCCCACCCUCGUACAAACGGCAUUGAUCGCAUCCGCACAGCCGGCCAGCCGCGCGCUCGC